rnacentral:rRNA from 1 species
UGAAUGGUGAGUUUGAUCCUGGCUCAGGAUAAACGCUGGCGGCGUGCCUAACACAUGCAAGUCGAACGACCU